CGAUUCUCCUGCCUCAGCCUCCUGAGCAGCUGAGACUACAGGCUACAGGCUAAUGGUCCAUUAUGCCACCAGCCAUGUGGAAAAAACGUCCUAGGGCUGCGUCAUCUGACUUCAUUUUUCCCAAGACAAUACGAACACUAUCAGAAAAGAGGCAAGCUUGUGAGCUGAGUCGGCUGCAGCAGCUCUAAACCACACAUUGCUGAUGAGUGAGAACCUCUGUUAUAAAUGGAAAUGUGAACUGGCAAAUACUCACUGGCUAAAGCUGAAUGCACCAGUUUAUUUUGGUACCUAUUAUGUCCAUGAUCUCCUAUUUUCCUUAUUGAUUGCAAAUACGCACAAGGA